rnacentral:lncRNA from 1 species
AAAAACCAGAACAUGUCGAUCACCAUUCACCAACCAAAUUUUAUAAUCAUACCAAAAAUAAAAUAACUAAUUUAUCAACCAAAAUGUCGCCGUGUGCAGAAAUUUCAGGUUUCGAUAAAAUUAAACAAAAAGUACCUUUGAGAUUUUUUAUUUGGUAAUUUUGAUCGGAUAGCGUGGAUUCAUAUGUGAUGGCGAUCUGUCGGAAAAAGCAAAGCGGAAGUCAAUUUUGAUUCAAAAAGAUGACGGUAAUUACUUGCCUUGUCAGGCGAGAAGAUGACCCACGAACAAAGAAAACUAGGUCCCCAAGUGGAGGUAUUUUUCUAUGUUAAAAAAGCUUUACGAGUUACAACGUUUACGUUUAUCUUUGAUUUUUUAUUUGAUAAACACAAAGAUAAUCAAAUGAAAAUCGUAUACAACAAUAUUGAUUAAAAUUUUGGAUCCACAACAAUAUUGACCAAUUAAAUGAAUCUUUCUGUUUUUUAGUCAAUUAUUCUCUAAAAUUGCAGAUCAGAAUUAAUUAACAGGAUGGAUUACGAACCCAUUUGGGAGGUGACCACAAAUGUACCAAUCAGACUCGAACCCAUUUAUAAUUAUAUGAUUUAUAAUUACUGACCAAGUCAACGCAGAAAUUUAUAAUCAAUGAAAUGGAAUAUUUUUUUAUAGUUUAAAUAGUCAACGUAGAAAUGUGAACCACAACCAACCCAUCUCUUC